GGAAUAUUGGACAAUGGGGGAAACCCUGAUCCAGCGACGCCGCGUGUGUGAAGAAGGCCUGCGGGUUGUAAAGCACUUUCGAUGGGAACGAAAUGUGCCGGGCUAAUACCCCGGCAAGCUGACGUUACUCAAUGAAGAAGCACCGGCUAACUACGUGCCAGCAGCCGCGGUAAUACGUAGGGUGCAAGCGUUAAUCGGAAUUACUGGGCGUAAAGCGUGCGCAGGCGGUUGUGCAAGACAGAUGUGAAAUCCCCGGGCUUAACCUGGGAACUGCAUUUGUGACUGUACGGCUGGAGUGCGGCAGAGGGGGAUGGAAUUCCGCGUGUAGCAGUGAAAUGCGUAGAUAUGCGGAGGAACACCGAUGGCGAAGGCAAUCCCCUGGGCCUGCACUGACGCUCAUGCACGAAAGCGUGGGGAGCAAAC
rnacentral:rRNA from 1 species